rnacentral:rRNA from 1 species
UACGUAGGGUGCAAGCGUUAAUCGGAAUUACUGGGCGUAAAGCGUGCGCAGGCGGCUUUGCAAGACAGAUGUGAAAUCCCCGGGCUCAACCUGGGAACUGCAUUUGUGACUGCAUGGCUAGAGUAUGGUAGAGGGGGAUGGAAUUCCGCGUGUAGCAGUGAAAUGCGUAGAUAUGCGGAGGAACACCGAUGGCGAAGGCAAUCCCCUGGACCUGUACUGACGCUCAUGCACGAAAGCGUGGGGAGCAAACAGG